rnacentral:rRNA from 1 species
AAAGGUCGGAGCUUAACUCCGGUUCGGCAGUGGAAACUGGAGUGCUAGAGGNCGACAGGGGUAGAGGGAAUUCCCAGUGUAGCGGUGAAAUGCGUAGAGAUUGGGAAGAACACCGGUGGCGAAAGCGCUCUACUGGGUCGCACCGGACCCUCAGGGACGAAAGCUAAGGUAGCGAAAGGGAUUAGAUACCCCNGUAGUCUCAGCCGUAAACGAUGGAUACUAGGCGUGGUUUGUAUCGACCCAAGCCGUGCCGAAGCUAACGCGUUAAGUAUCCCGCCUGGGGAGUACGCACGCAAGUGUGAAACUCAAAGGAAUUGACGGGGGCCCGCACAAGCGGUGGAGGAUGUGGUUUAAUUCGAUGCAACGCGAAGAACCUUACCAGGGCUUGACAUCCCGCGAAUCUUGCUGAAAGGUGAGAGUGCCUUCGGGAGCGCGGAGACAGGUGGUGCAUGGCUGUCGUCAGCUCGUGUCGUGAGAUGUUGGGUUAAGUCCCGCAACGAGCGCAACCCUCGUCCUUAGUUGCCAGCAUUAAGUUGGGCACUCUAGGGAGACUGCCGGUGACAAACCGGAGGAAGGUGAGGAUGACGUCAAGUCAGCAUGCCCCUUAUGCUCUGGGCGACACACGUCCUACAAUGGUCGGGACAAAGGGGAGCAAGCUCGCGAGAGUAAGCGAAUCCCAGCAAACUCGGCCUCAGUUCAGAUUGCAGGCUGCAACUCGCCUGCAUGAAGGAGGAAUCGCUAGUAAUCGCAGGUCAGCAUACUGCGGUGAAUUCGUUCCCGGGCCUUGUACACGCCGCCCGUCACACCAUGGAAGCUGGCCAAGCCCGAAGUCGUUACCCUAACCGUUUGGAGGGGGGCGCCGAAAGCUGGGCUAGU